rnacentral:lncRNA from 1 species
AUGCGCAGUGCGGAGAGCGGAGGGUGCGCGCCGCCGGGCGGGCGGGGCGCGGGGGCGCGGGGACGCCGGUCCGCGGGGCCCUCAGGAGCCGACCAGCACCUCCAUGAUGUGGUCCAGCUCCGUGAGGUCCAUCUUGAAGGGCUGACUCGGGGCGACCGGCUGGCUGCUGUACGGCGCCAGCGUCUUGAGGAGGUCGUCCGCCGACACCGACACGGGCGCCAUCUUGGAGGCCGUCCCCGCCGCCGACGUGCAGGGGUCGAAGUCGUACAUGGACGUGUCGAUGUCGGCGAACAGGAUGUCGUCCAGGGUCAGAGGAGAAAGGAAAGGGAGCGGCAUCAACCACACGGAAACUCAUUUUCUGCCCUAAAAGGGACGCCGAUUCGGGGUUCAGGGCUUGGACUCCAGUUGCUUGCCCCAGAUACACACGUGCUUCGGAAAAGAGCCAACCACCUCAUAUCUCAGACCUUGACAUUUGGGAAUGGCGUGAGUUUUAACACCUGCCCUGCCUCACCUGCCGCUCCCUGCCUACGCCGCCUCCUUGCCUGCUCUGGCCUUACUGAGGACUCCCCCGGCCGGCUGCACCUUCUGGAGAGUGUCCCUUCCUUUCAGAACUUCUACCGUCUAAACAGAACAACUGUUCUGUUUAGUUCUGUUUCAGUACAACUGCAAGCCCACUGGCCUUUGCCUCACAGAUCUCACUUUCUAACCAUUUAAUCAGGAAAGUUGUUCUGCUGUCCAGACCAGAAGACGUGGUUCUCAUUAAGCCGGGCCUGUGCUUGCUCCCCCAGCCCGUCUGCAGCACUUACCCACAGGCGAGUGUUAAUCCUCUCCUGGGUGCCACUCACUGAUAUCUUCAUAUACAAGUAGUUUGUACUUAUUCAAUUUUUCUUCUAAAAGCGACUUGCCUUUUACUGAAUUGCUUCAGCUGAUUUUGAUGGAGCCUCAUUCAGUCUUUAUAUUUGUUUACUCAUUCUGCAUCUAUGCUGUCGUGGGCACUCUGCCAGAAAGUGGGUAGUCCUGCCAAUGAAUAAAGCCUGGUCUUCAAGGGGCUGAAUAUCA